CAGGGAAGUGAUGACACUGAGUGGGAGAUCUUUCAGCAAGAAAAAACACUCGCAUCAAAUGUGGCUAUGUGCCUAGAAAACUUUCUUUGGAGGAACUGAAGAUACCAAUAACACUGAUGCUUGAAAUUUCGGCUAGGCAACCGCUAGUACUAGUAUAUAAUGAUCUGGAUGAUCUACAUGUACUUUGACUCUUGCAUCCUUGGUUUUACCUACAAGGCAUUUUUUGCUUUAUGGUCCAUGGAGUAGACAGUAGCAGAACUAGUGAACGCCCAAAUUGCAACAGUCAGUGCGGCAGUAGGCACCGGAGAAAAGUGAUGUUAUGAAGGAACGAUGAUGCUUCAGCUAGCAGGUUGAUAGCCCUUCUACAGUUGUGUUCAAUCGUCAAACCAGUGCAACCACCAUCAGUGAAUAAUUGGAGCUAAAACAUGGAGGCUGGAGAUAUUCCAAAAUAGGCUUAAUAUGUGUGCUAUCAACCAAGCUAGUUUAUAGCAUUCCUGUUGAACUUUUGGUUGUACUGAUGAGGUGAAAUGUGAACUGUUCAGUACCACCCAGAAUGAAAUUGAUGCUUAAUUGUAGUGCGAGUAUGUGAAACAUGAUGAAGUAUUUGUGGUCUGCAAUGAACACAAGAUUCAAUAGAAAAUAACUUGCUCUAUAUUUCAUUUUUCA